AUGACGGGAGCUUGCUCCUUGAUUCAGCGGCGGACGGGUGAGUAAUACCUAGGAAUCUGCCUGAUAGUGGGGGACAACGUUUCGAAAGGAACGCUAAUACCGCAUACGUCCUACGGGAGAAAGCAGGGGACCUUCGGGCCUUGCGCUAUCAGAUGAGCCUAGGUCGGAUUAGCUAGUUGGUGAGGUAAUGGCUCACCAAGGCGACGAUCCGUAACUGGUCUGAGAGGAUGAUCAGUCACACUGGAACUGAGACACGGUCCAGACUCCUACGGGAGGCAGCAGUGGGGAAUAUUGGACAAUGGGCGAAAGCCUGAUCCAGCCAUGCCGCGUGUGUGAAGAAGGUCUUCGGAUUGUAAAGCACUUUAAGUUGGGAGGAAGGGCAGUAAGCUAAUACCUUGCUGUUUUGACGUUACCGACAGAAUAAGCACCGGCUAACUCUGUGCCAGCAGCCGCGGUAAUACAGAGGGUGCAAGCGUUAAUCGGAAUUACUGGGCGUAAAGCGCGCGUAGGUGGUUCGUUAAGUUGGAUGUGAAAUCCCCGGGCUCAACCUGGGAACUGCAUCCAAAACUG
rnacentral:rRNA from 1 species